rnacentral:rRNA from 1 species
UACGGGGGGGGCAAGCGUUGUUCGGAAUUACUGGGCGUAAAGGGCUCGUAGGUGGCCAACUAAGUCGGACGUGAAAUCCCUCGGCUUAACCGGGGAACUGCGUCCGAUACUGGUUGGCUUGAGUUUGGGAGAGGGAUGCGGAAUUCCUGGUGUAGCGGUGAAAUGCGCAGAUAUCAGGAGGAACACCGGUGGCGAAGGCGGAUCUCUGGGCCUUACCUGACGCUGAGGCGCGAAAGCUAGGGGAGCGAACAGG